UACGUAGGGUGCGAGCGUUGUCCGGAAUUAUUGGGCGUAAAGGGCUCGUAGGCGGUUUGUCGCGUCGGGGGUGAAAUCCACUGGCUUAACUGGUGGCUUGCUUUCGAUACGGGCAGACUGGAGGUAUGCAGGGGAGAACGGAAUUCCUGGUGUAGCGGUGAAAUGCGCAGAUAUCAGGAGGAACACCGAUGGCGAAGGCAGGUCUCUGGGCAUUAACUGACGCUGAGGAGCGAAAGCAUGGGGAGCGAACAGG
rnacentral:rRNA from 1 species